rnacentral:rRNA from 1 species
UUGUAAGUAAUGAAGAGCGUACGGUGGAUGCCUUGGCACCAGGAGCCGAUGAAGGACGUAGGAGGCUGCGAUAAGCCUCGGGGAGCUGUCAACCGAGCUGUGAUCCGAGGAUGUCCGAAUGGGGAAACCCAGCACGAGUGAUGUCGUGUUACCCGCGCCUGAAUAUAUAGGGCGUGUGGAGGGAACGUGGGGAAGUGAAACAUCUCAGUACCCACAGGAAGAGAAAACAACCGUGAUUCCGUGAGUAGUGGCGAGCGAAAGCGGAAGAGGCUAAACCAUGGGUGUGUGAUAGCCGGCAGGUGUUGCAUUCGUGGGGUUGUGGGGUUCAUUUUGUCUGUUCUGCCGAGCAGGCCAACAGUAAGAAAUCACAGGGUUAGUGGAAGUGGUCUGGAACGGCCUGUCGUAGAGGGUGAGAAUCCCGUACACGAAAACUUUGUGACUGUUGUAAUGGAAACCCAAGUAGCACCGGGCCCGUGAAAUCUGGUGUGAAUCUGUCGGGACCACCCGAUAAGCCUGAAUACUCCCUGGUGACCGAUAGCGGACUAGUACCGUGAGGGAAAGGUGAAAAGUACCCCGGGAGGGGAGUGAAAUAGUACCUGAAACCGUGCGCUUACAAUCCGUCAGAGCCUUCGAACAGUUUACUGUUGGGGGUGAUGGCGUGCCUUUUGAAGAAUGAGCCUGCGAGUUAGUGGCAUGUCGCGAGGUUAACCCGUGUGGGGUAGCCGUAGCGAAAGCGAGUCCGAAUAGGGCGAUCGUAGUGGCAUGCUCUAGACCCGAAGCGGAGUGAUCUACCCAUGGCCAGGUUGAAGCGACGGUAAGACGUCGUGGAGGACCGAACCCACUUAGGUUGAAAACUGAGGGGAUGAGUUGUGGGUAGGGGUGAAAGGCCAAUCAAACUCCGUGAUAGCUGGUUCUCCCCGAAAUGCAUUUAGGUGCAGCGUCGCGUGUUUCUCACCGGAGGUAGAGCUACUGGAUGGUCUAGGGGGCCCACAAGCUUACCGAAAUCAGCCAAACUCCGAAUGCCGGUGAGUGAGAGCGCGGCAGUGAGACUGCGGGCGAUAAGGUUCGUAGUCGAGAGGGAAACAGCCCAGAUCGCCAGCUAAGGUCCCUAAGCGUGUACUAAGUGGAAAAGGAUGUGGGGUCGCGAAGACAACCAGGAGGUUGGCUUAGAAGCAGCCACCCUUGAAAGAGUGCGUAAUAGCUCACUGGUCAAGUGAUCCUGCGCCGACAAUGUAGCGGGGCUCAAGUACACCACCGAAGCUGCGGCAUUCACGCAAUAGCCCCCCUUCACUCUGCGGAGUGUUGGGCAGGUGUGUGGAUGGGUAGGGGAGCGUCGUGUGGCCAUGGAAGCGGCAGGGUGACCUAGCCGUGGAGGCCACACGAGUGAGAAUGCAGGCAUGAGUAGCGAAAGACGAGUGAGAAACUCGUCCGCCGAAUGACCAAGGGUUCCUGGGCCAGGUUAAUCCGCCCAGGGUGAGUCGGGACCUAAGACGAGGCCGACAGGCGUAGCCGAUGGACAACGGGUUGAUAUUCCCGUACCCGUGUGAACGCGCCCAUGGUGAAUCAGUGAUACUAACCAUCCUGAAGCCACGAGAAGACCUUCGGGUCUCGAGUUGGUGGAUGCAUGGGACCUGAUCUGGUAGUAGCCAAGCGAUGGGGUGACGCAGGAAGGUAGCUGAGCCAGUCAGUGGUAAUACUGGUGUAAGCGUGUAGGGCGUGACCUAGGCAAAUCCGGGUCACACAUAGCCUGAGACGUGAUGCGUAGCCGAUUGAGGCGAAUUCAGUGAUCCUAUGCUGCCGAGAAAAGCCUCUAGCGAGCUUUCACACGGCCCGUACCCCAAACCGACACAGGUGGUCAGGUAGAGAAUACUAAGGCGAUCGAGAUAACUAUGGUUAAGGAACUCGGCAAAAUGCCCCCGUAACUUCGGGAGAAGGGGGGCCCUGU